CAAGACUAGUUGGGCAUCCACCAUCUCCACAUCCAAAGCUUGUUUGGGUGUCCCUCUUGCUAGUUUCAAGCUCUUGGUUGCUUCUAGAUCAAUAGAAGGAGAUCAAGAGAAGAGUAGAAAAGAAGAAGAUCAAGGAAAGAUCAAGAGUUGAUCACAAGAUUUAGACUUGGUUCAGAUUCGUAAGAAGAUUAUUUUUGGAGAAGAAAAAUCUACAUCAAAGAGGG
rnacentral:lncRNA from 1 species